UAUAACAGUAAUAAUCCCCUGUCUUUGUGAACUAAAUCUUUGACUGCACAUUUCGAAACUAAUAAGGAUUCAACAGCGGCCUUUAUACUUGUAAGGCCACGUCGGCGCAUUUCCGGUAGUUUUCCUUGCGACUUGACGCAGCCAGAGAGGAGCAGUGACGUAGCGCUCCAGCACUGCGCCUCUCGCGCUGAUGCUGCAGUUGCUAGGGGCGCGAGGAGCAGACGGCGAGAAAAACAACUUCUCGGUGGGAAAUGUCUCCCUCUAGAGUCUGUCUUCUGGAAACCGAGGAGCGUUGUCGAUGGAAAAAAACCUGAAAAUAAAUGUAAACGCGGUUGCUUCAUUUUUAAAGAGGAAGAAAAGUGAAAAAGAAACUGUGGUGGACAUGGGAUUGAGGGUUGGACUGACAGACUUGGAGCGGUCCCAUAUGAGGAGCAGCUCUGCGAGGCGUUCCUCGGCGCACUGUGCUGUGAGACGGGCCUCUGCAUCCUGGUCCCAGCAGUCCUCCAUUGUCUCUUUCAGAGAGCGAACCGCCUGAAACGCACACAUUUAGGUCUAUACACACCAAGCUGUUCUCCUUCCAAGCCUCUGGGAAUUUGGGCCGUUGCUUCUCCCUGGAUACCAGGACCUGCAUGUCCUCA